UGUUUCUAUGCAAAAUAAACCCAAUUUACAGCAUGAUCAUGCAUUUGUGGUACUCCAAGCCUUUCUUCACAGUAAGUAUCUUAAAACUUACUCCUGAUGGAUCACAUUACCUGUCAAGGUACUAGAAGAGGACCUAUAUUUCCUGAAAGCUUUUUAUAGUUUUUUUGUUUGUUUGUUUGCUAGACCUUAGUUUUGCCUAAAUCCACAAGAAUUAGAUUAAGAUAAUUGAAUCCCAAUGCAGCAGUGAGUCACUGGGUUAGAAUGAAUGCAUUUCAGACAUUUGUUAAAUCCUGGUGACUUGACACAGCCCAGAUGGGAUAUAGUGAAAAACUCUCCAUGCCAACGUACUGUGGGAUGAAAGGAACACAUCUAGUGUUGGGGAACAGAGGUGCAUGCUAUAUUGAUUGCUUUUGUGUUCUACAGGUGAAAUCCUGUAUGCAGCAAGCUGAGGUUAAAAUUAGAAGGUACUGUAUUGAACCAACACAUUACCAGAGGUCUCUUGCCAAGUGUUCAGCAAGACGGAAAAUGGGUAGUCAGCCCAAGUCCUCAGUAACACUCCUGCCUGCAAAAGAGAAGGACAAUCAAGGUCACUGAUGUCUCUCCCCUCAUGGAACCUGCUUAGUGAAGAAUGAAGGGAAGCUAAGAUUCCCGCCCUGUUCCUGCCAGCAUGUCCCUCCACUCCUCUGGUUGCAGUGACUCAGCAGAGGGUGCAGUGACUCCUUAGGGUACAGUGGCACCAAUGCACAGACCCUGGACACUGAGGAAACCCCGCAUCAAGAAGAAAAUCCUUGGCUUGUGCACCCAGGUUGAAAACAAGGCACUUCUCCCCGAGAUGUUGGACAACUGCCCCUGCUGAAGCUCUUUCCACAGAUUGACUUACUGGCUUCUGAGGACUGAGAAGGACCAGUGUGAGACCUCAGCAGGAACAAGUAGCAUGAUCAUGGGAGCUUUGAAGAUUUUGCAUUUGGAUGGCUUCUAAAACUCUUUUUUGGAACCUCUUUCCCGCAAACAUGGAUUCCAUUUUAAAAUAAAAAUGUUUUUCUUGUUUGGGUUCACUUUCAA